rnacentral:lncRNA from 1 species
CAUUGUACAUAUAAAACACUUACACUGGAAAAUUCAGCUUCAGAUGUACCAGAGUUCAAUUAGCUUAAUCUUAUCAACUUUGAGCUGCAAAGAACAAUCACAAAUCAUGUCAUUACAAUAUAUAACCACAUGCCAUGUGUUUGUAUUGAGAUUAUUACAAAUGUACCUUGUGUUUCUUUGCACAUAAAUAAAAAGCAACAACCAUAAACACCGGACUUUGUAUCAUAUUCCAAAUCAAUUUUAAAUGUUGUUUGUUUCGCAUAAUGAUGACAGAAAAAAAAUCUUGGCCAAUGUUUUUCAUCAAUAGCCAGAAAGAAUCAUGUAUACAUGAAAGCUAAGCAUGAAAUAAUGGUUUUAUCUAACAUACACAAAUAAAAUAGUUUUGCAGGAUGCAUAAGUAUAUUUUUCACCAUUGAAUUAAUAAGUCUAAUCUUAUCUCAUUUCAUUCGAUGGCAAAAUUUAUUGGCAAGACUUAUCUCACAUAAA